GAUUGACUAAUUUCAACUUAAAUGGAAAUCUGUUAGAAGGGCCAUUGACUCCAUCCAUCCUUAAUUGUAGGGGUCUGGAAGUGCUAGAUCUUGGUAACAACAAGAUCAAUGAUACAUUUCCUCAUUGGUUGGGAAGUCUUCCACAGCUACAAGUUCUUGUAUUGAAGUCAAAUCAUAUGCAUGGUUCCUUAUGUGUCAAUAGCUCUAAGUCUAGCCCUUUUUUCUCUAAAAUCCAAAUUUUUGACCUCUCAAGUAACUAUUUUUCUGGACCCCUACCAGUGAGAUACAUCAACAGCUUCAAGGCUAUCAUAAAUGUAGAGAAGAUUGGUAGUACAGUGUCGUACAUGGGGGUGAAUGAUGAUGGAGGUGACUUCUAUACCUAUUCCAUUGGAAUUGUCAUGAAAGGGAGAGAUAUGGAAUUGGUGAAAAUUUUCACCAUGUGGAUGAUCAUUGAUCUAUCAAACAAUCAGUUUGAAGGGGGUAUUCCAGAGGUUUUUGGGAAGCUUAACUUACUGAAAGGGCUCAACCUUUCUCAUAAUAACCUUAAUGGUGGUAUCCCCACCUUAAUAGGGAAUUUGACAAGUCUUGAAUGGUUGGACCUAUCUUCAAACAGGUUGUCUGGGACGAUUCCAAAUAGAUUGGCAGAUCUGCCAUUUCUUUCGUCCUUCAAUGUUUCUGAAAAUCAACUCCAUGGUCAGAUUCCUCAAGGCAAACAGUUCAACACAUUUGGAAAUGAUUCAUAUGAAGGAAACAAGGCAUUAUGUGGAUUUCCGGUCUCAAAAGGUUGCAACAUCAUUGAGCCAGCACCUCCAAAUGUGCUUGAAAAAGAUGGCUCAAAAUCAAACAUUACUUUUGGUUGGAAAGUGGUGUUGAUAGGUUAUGGAUGCGGAGUGGUGUUCGGAAUGUCCGUGGGAUAUGUUGUUUUCCAAACUGGUAAGCCGAAAUGGUUGGUGAAUUUGGUUGAAAUCCAACAUGAGAAGAAGCGAAGAAGAAAGUCAAAGGAUGGCAGUCGCAGCAAUGGACGAAGAAGAAUCUAGUUAGUGGAAAUGAUGUUCAAGUGUUGAUGUUGUAUCUUCAUAAUUUCUUGUUUUGAAGUCUGUCAAAUUUUUUUCCUAUCGUGAAAGGCUGCAUUGCCAUGCAUCUGUCUUUUUUAUUGUAACCAUUCAUCUAUAUUUCAUUGCAUUACGUAGUAUUUGUAAGGGUUUGUUUUAAAUGUAACAUUUUGUAUGGUUCAACUAUUUAUGUCUCUUUCAUGAGUUUCAUUUUUGAGUCUCAAUAAUCUCUGCAUUCAAGAUUUUGUCAGCUUAUUAAUUGGUGGAUCAAUAAUCUUCAUGCUCAUCUCAUCAUCUUUUUCUCGAGUUAAACACAGUCACUACUAUAAUAAUUUCUUCUGUGUGGAAAAUAAUUUGGCAUUCUGCAAAUUUCCACAAUGCUUGUGGAUUACCUCUGGUUGACGGCUAUACAUAUAAAGGAAGGAAACAAGACUAUGUCAAAAUUUCCAAAAAUCAGUCAUUCAUUUUUGAACAAUUAAACAUUCCUAUUCUAUUUUUCAAAAUUGUAAAUCCUCAAAUAAUGUAAAUUAGUCCUAAAACUCAAGUUUUGAAAUCUUUACAAUUUAACCCCUUAUAGUUUCAAACUUUACUAUUUUAUGCUCAACUUUCUAAAUCUUCAUAUUUCAUGAUCAUAUAAUUUAGUUAUUACAUCAAUAUUUCAGAUUUCACUACUCAAACCCUUACUUCAUUUUGGUCCUUACUUCAAUUUUUUCAAAUUAAAUCAAUUUUCAAUUUGACUGCAUUGAUGUGAAAUUGAGGGAGCACUAAACAAUGUUGAUGCGAGUUUAGGUAAAAUUGGUGGAUCCCAUCUCCUUAGUAAUUUCUUUAUGGAAGUAGCUGCUUUCACACUGCAAACUUGAAUAGUUUGUGGUGGACGAUGAUGAAUCAUUUGACAAUCAAACACAUAAUUUUUAAACACAAAAUUAACGAUAUUUUGAAAUCAUUAUUGAAAUUAUAAUCAAAAUUAAUACAUGUUCUUUUUAUUAGCUUAAGGUCGUAAAAACCCUUCAAAAUUUUCAAAAAAAAAAAAAAUUUAAGUCCCUCUUUUUUUUUUUCUAAUUUUUAAUAAAAGUAGGGGCUUAAUUGCUUUUUUUUUUUUAAGUUUGAGGGUCUUUUUGAUGCAUUUUGAAAGUUCAAGUACCCAAUUGAGUGCAAGAAGAAAGUAGGGGCUUAAUUGCUUUUUUUUAUGUAUUUUGAACGUUCAUGUACCCAAAUGAGUGCAUAAAAAAAACAGGGGUUUAGUUGCUAUUUUUGAAAAGGGUUUGAGGGCUUUUUGCACCCUUAAACCUCUUUUCUUUUUCUAAAUUUAAUUUAGAACCAACUUUGAGUAAAGACUUGGGAAAUUUAAUUAGCAAAAUUUCUUUCCAUGUAAAUAUUUCCCCUAUUUCUUGUUGGAAUUUAAAGCAAUACAAUAUUUUUGUAGCUAGUAACAGAAAACGACAGUCAAUUAAUUCCAAGCAAUACAAAAUAUCCAGUCUGGUGGAAAAUUUGUUUGUUAGAUUCUAUUAUUCAACUUUUAAGGCAUAAGUCUGAAUAUAGGGACUAAAUUUUUAAAGUGUUGUUUAUUUUAAAAUCUAUUAAUAUAUACACACUUAGGGACCAUAUAUAUAUAUAUCAUAUAUAUAUAUAUAUAUUCCAUUCUGGAUCUUUGUCGUGUUUUGUUGGUUGGCUCUGGCCUUGUUGUUGUUUCCACUGCCUGUGGUCUCUGUUUCUAAGUCAUAUGUGGCCUUGUUUGCUAGACCUUAGUUGCUCUUCACAUGUCUUGUAUUUUGUCAAGUUAAUUGAAAUGGAAAAUAAAAGUGUUGGCAUUACAGAUUAGAGUAAAAGGAAUUAGUGUUGAAGUUGGGGUUGUUCAAUUGUUGGAAUUCAUGUGUGUAUUUUUUUGAGUAUCUGGGUCUUUGUCGUGUUUUCUUGGUUGGCUAUGGCGGCCUUCUUGUUGUUCCCACUGUCUGUGGUAUUUGUUUCUAAGUCAUAUGUGGCCUUGUAUGCUAGACCUUAGUUGCUAAGUUAAAGGGAGUGAAUAGAGCACCAUAUUUCUUCUUCUGCGUGGAAAAUAAGUUGGCAUUAUGCCAAUUUCCACAUUCAUACAUAUAAAGGAAGCAAGAGCAAGUCAAUAUACUUUGUAAUCUCAUCAAUUCUUCUUCUUUCUUUAGGGAGUUCAAAUGAAAUACAAAUUUUUGGUAAAUCAACUCUUCAUUUUUAUGAAUAAAAAUUAUAUGGUAGAAAGGAAGUGGUGUUAAUAAUAAUAAUAAUAAUAAAAAGAUUAACAAUAGAACACUAAUAAAGCAAUUUAGUCUAUGAUCUGCACAAUAUAUUACUACAAAUGUACCGUACAGAAUAUUGAAAGAAAACUAAUAAAGAAGUUCGAAAUUUAAACAAUGUUCCGCAAAUUAUGUUUAUGAUCUGCUGUAAAUUGAUAUGUUAAAUCAACUCUUCAUUUUUAUGAAUAAAAAUUAUAUGGUAAAAAGGAAGUGGUGUUAAUAAUAAUAAUAAAGAUCAACAAUAGAAAACUAAUAAAGCAAUUUAGUCUAUGAUCUGCAUAAUAUAUUACUACAAAUGUACCGUACAGAAUAUUGAAAGAAAACUAAUAAAGAAAUCCGAAAUUUUAACAAGGUUCCGCAAAUUAUGUUUAUGAUAUGAUGUAAAUUGAUAUGUCAAAUUUUGUGGCAAGUAAUAGAAAAUGACAAAUUCCACAUUCAUACAUAUAAAGGAAGCAAGAUCAAGUCAAUAUACUUUGUAAUCUCAUCACUUCUUCUUCUUUCUUUAGGGAGUUCAAAUGAAAUACAAAAUUUUGGUAAAUCAACUCUUCAUUUUUAUGAAUAAAAAUUAUAUGGUAAAAGGAAGUCUUGUUAAUAAUAAUAAUAAGAUUAACAAUAGAAAACUAAUAAAACAAUUUAUCCAAAUAUCAAAAUAAAUAUUAACUUUUUCAGAAACCAAAAUUAUUUUCUAAAAAUUAUUUUUUAAAAACUAUUUUUAGUGAAACAAACUGAGUCUUAGCCCAUAUUGUAAAUUAUUUUGUGGGUCUGGAAUUCUUGUACAUUAUGCUGCAAAAGAGUGAAAUUUCCUUACAGCUAGUCGAUCAAGUUUGGUUGAAAUUGAAUGCAUUGAUGUGAAAUUGAGGGAGCCUAAACAAUGUUGAUGCGAGUUUAGGUAAAAUUAGUGGAUCCCAUCUCCUUAGUAAUUUCUUUAAGGAAGUAUCUGCUUUCACACUGUGUUGACAACUUCCCACAGAUCAAAGGCCUGCAGGUAAGUCUUCAUAUUUACCAGCCAUAUGUGAAAACCUUCUCCAUUGAAGACUGGUGGGACUGCUGGUGAAAAUCCUGAAGAAGCCAUCAGGUUUCUUGAUUUGAAGCAACAGGUCCACUAAGAAAAGGGCUCUAGAUACCAAUUGUUGGUGUAAAAGGGCAGAAGCAAACUGAUUUAAGCUUGCUUAUACAGCAAGCCUCGAGCCUUGUAGAAGAAACAAUCUCAGCAGAAAGCAAAAAUGAAGCUUGCAGUUGGAAAAACAAGAAAACAAGGAGAGAAUUUGAAUGAAAAACAAGCUGAGUUGUUCAUUAACAUUACAACAAGGCAUAUUGCCAUUACAUAUAUCAGUUAACUUGUCAAAUAAACAAGUAAUCACCUAAUCAAUUACCUAACACCACUAAUAUGCAUUGAAACUUACAAAAUUAGCUUGCAAACAUUACAUUGCUGAUAUUUCAGUCAAUCAACAUCAAAAUUACACCAAAACAUUCACCUGCUUAGUUCAAUGUGAACUAGAUUACAAAAUGAUUAAAAUACAACUAAAACAACAAGUGGUUCAGUAACUUGAAGCUUCAGCUGCUGCACACCAUGGCUCGAUUGCCUGCUGCCAUUUCUUCUUGCAUGGCCACCUUUGCAUGGGAACUAAACUCAACAUACACGAACUAAUGCAAAUAUGCUAGUGGUUUAUUUUCCACCUAUCUGAUUUUUUAAAAUGUUCUUCAGUUACACCAGUUGAUGCAAUCUAUUAUUACCUGCCUCGUUGCAAAAAGGUUAGGAAAUAAAUUCACCGACAAUCAUUGGGAACUAAGAAACUUCGCAGCAAAGCUAGUGGCAUCAAUAUGCAAAAGGUGAAGAUUCUUUUCUUUUGGACUUAUACAUGCAUAUUCGUUUUUAUGAAUUUCAGGUGUCUGAGUUUUUAGUUAUAAACUUGGAUCUAUUCUUCAAAUCAUGUGUAUAUCAUUUUUAUGCUAUUUCACACUUGCAAAACAAAUGGUGCGAGCGUGCAUGUUAUAUGCAGAAUACAUAGAUUAAUUACAUGUGGAUCAUUAAGCAUGCCUAUGUUUGACGAUUGUGUGUGGCUACCUUUUUUUACAUGAUCCAAUUUUCGAUAUGCUUUGCUUUUAGGUUGAAUGCGGAAAAGAUUAGAACUUAAUUUCCAGCAUAAUGAUUUGUCUUGGAUAUGCAGAUUUUACAUGCAUUUCUUACAAGUCAAUAUUUUAUAGAUUUGGGCAUGUUUAUCACAAUCUUCAGCCACGUGUGACAAGGACACUGCUCCACGCUUUUUUGGACCCAACGAAAACAUUUCCCCAGUAUUACGGAGCAAUUCAAGGGUUAGCAGCCCUUGGACCCAGUGUGGUAUAAUUCUAAUCUCAAAUAUUUACUAGCAACACAAUAAGAUACUUGUUUGUGGGAUCAAUUGGUCAAAGAUAUUGCAAUGAUAGCCAUCUUUUUAAGCCCAUUUCUUUCAGAAAACUGUUUUGUCACUCUUUUCUGCAAGAUCCGAAGAAAGAAAGAACAUGGAAAUCUUUAGUCCAAAAGUGUAAAUAUGCGGUUUCUCUAUAGCUAUCUUGAUUAUGGCAUCUGUAAAGUUUGUCUUUCAUAUGUUUGGCUAACGCUUCUUCAUCCAUAUGUAGGUUCGUUUACUUAUACUACCAAACCUUGAAGCGUAUUUGCAGCUUCAUGAACCUGAAAUAAAAAGACACGAGGCCUGGUGUUUUUAUGGGGCCCUGCUGGUAAGUUUAACAUCAAAUUUGGUACCAGUUUACGAGCAUCAUUUCAUUUAUUUGCUAUAGAACUAACAACACUGCAUAAAAUUUCCACUAAAAGCGUGCAGCUGGACUGUGCAUGUAUGAUCGGCUUAAAAUGUUCCCCAGUUUGCUAGCACCCCCAACUCGGCCCGUCUGGAAAAGCAACAACAAAGUUGCGACAAGUAUGAUUUCUUCGAACCAUCAUAUUUACACUUAAUCCACAGGUCUCUUCUCCCCCUUUACGAUUUUCCUUUUUCUGAUCAAUCAAGAUAAACGAAAAGCAAGCACGGACGCCUUGAUGCAGCAGCAACCACCUGCGAAGAAAAUAGCAACUGAGAGUGCAAUAGGUAUGAUGCCAAUAAAUUCCAUGCAAACUGAUUUACAAGGGGCAGUUAGCAGCUUUUCUACCACCGUAGGAGGUUCCAAUAUCGGUGUAUCAUCAAUGUCACGGCCGUUAUCAAACGAUAACAUGCUAGGAAGGGAGGUUGGGGGUCGAGUUUCAAGGACAUCAACCGUUCUAGCUCAGGCUUGGAAGGAAGACACAGACCCAGGGAACUUGUUAGCAUCAUUAUUUGAACUUUUUGGUGAAAGUAUGUAAUUAAAAUAAUAUAUUGGCUUAACCCUCCUAAAUUAUGUAUUUUUUUCCAUCUUGGGACCUAAAUUUUUUUGGGGUCAUAAGUGGUACCUAAACUACAUUUUUUCUCCUUCAAAUUAGUAUCUUCAUUAAUUAAACCGUUAAGUCUAUUUAAAAAAGAAAGACUCGAACAACAAAUUAAUACCUAAACAGUGCUCUUUUUCUCAAGGUACCUAAUUUUUAUUUUGGCCAUAAGUACUACUAAAACUAUUCUUCCGUUACUCAUUUUACACCAAAAUGUUAUAUCGGCUGAAAAGAUUCCAACAAAUAAUAGAUUGUAUGUUAUAUAAACUUUUAAAAAUAAUUAUUAUUUAAUUAAUUUUUUAUAUUUUUCUUUCUUAUUCCUUUCUAAUGUUUGGCAAUGCUGAUAAUGUUUGAAAUUGUCCCACUUGAGGUCAAAAUACUGGUGAUUAAUUUUGGUUUUGAAUUUCACCACCUACUUCUUUGACCUAAGGGGAUAGAAAAUGUUCUUUUAUCGAUCAAAACUAGUAUUUUCAAAAACAGAUUGAUUCAACUGGUUGGAUAGGAAAUCGGUCUGGAAAUAAGGGUUGAAUCGAUUGACUUGCGACCAAAAACAAAUCAGUUGAACUAAGUUAAAAAAACUGGUUGAACUAGUUCUCUCCAUUUAUAUAUAUAUAAAUAAUAAUAGUCUUUUUUUGUACUAUAUGUCAAUUUUUAAUUGGUUAAUUUUUUUUUUCAUAUAAACUGAACGGUUUGACUAAUGACGGAGGUACCAAAUUAUAGUCUAGGUACCAAUUCAUGGGUUAAGCCUAUUUCUACAAUAGACUUUUGACUAAUGGCGGUAGUAACUUGGGAAAAAAAAAGUAGUUUAUGUACCACUUGUGACAAAAAAUAAGUUUAGGUACUAUCAUGGGAAAAUGAGUAUAAUUUAGAUACUAAUUUAUGAGUUAAGCCUAAUAUAUUUGCCACAUCAUUUUUUGAAAAUAACAGAACUUAAUAAAUUUAACGGUUAUUAUUUGAUGAUGACUAAAAUUUUUAAAUUUGAAAAGUACAUGAACUAAAAAUGACCAAAUUAAAGUAUAAAGAUUAAGUCCACAACUUUUGCAAAGUACAAGGACUAAUAGCAGAAAUUAACCUAAAUUUCAUAUGGGUCAAUUACAAUAAUAAUCACUAAACUAUUCCUUUGGUUCUAUUCUAGUCACUCAACUAUAGAGCUGCUCAUGAGCCGGGCCAGGUUAGGCCUAAGCAUGAUAUUAACGUACUUUAUGCUUGCUCAAGCUUGGCUCGGCCCGAAAUAUGAGCUUAAAAUUUCGCCUAAACUCAUCAAUAUUUGCAAAAGACUAACCCAAGCUCAUUUUAGGCAUGCCCAUAUAAUUUUUAGUUUUUUUUUUUUAAAUAUUUAUAUUAUAUUAUUUUAAGAAUUAAUAAUUUGAACUAUAGUAUUAUUAUAUAUUUAGUAUAAGUUUAUUUUUUAAUCUGUUCUAAAUUAUAUAAUAUAAAAUAUUAUACACUUAAAAACGGGCCGGGCUGGGCUCGAGCUUUAAAUGUUCAAGUCUUAACCCGGCCCAUAUUUUAAACGGGCUUAAUUUUUUUACCAAAACCCAAUUUUCGGGCCUAAUUUUUUUACUCAGACCCUCCCAAAUUUUGGGCUGCCCUUGGGCUUUGGCAAGUAGCCCAACUCAUGAACAAGUUUACUCAACUAUUAAUUUUUUCGAUUUAGUUGUUAACCUUUUCGAAAGUAAAUAUUUUAGUCAUUCUCCUAUUAGUUGUUGUUAAACGAGUGACGGAAAGCUGAUGUGGGCUUUUUUUAUUAGUCUAAUAACAAAUUUAGCCCUCCAAUGUUUACACAUUCUAUCAAUUUGAUCCUAGAUAUAAAAAAAUCAACAAAUUUAGCCCUGAAUGUUAACAAAACUUGUCAUUUUAGUUCAAAUUCUAAAAAAUUUAAUAAAUUUAACCCUUAAUAUUUUCAAAAAUUAGCAAUUUAGUUCUAAUUCUAAAAAUUUUAAUAUAUAUAUUUAAAAAAAUAUUUUUAAUCAUCUGUCUCACCCUUUGAUUUUUUAGAUGAGCUAAAAUCAAAAUGAGAUAAAAAAAAAUAAAAAGUUAAAAUGACUUUUCGUUUGUAAAGUUAAAAAAUGCUAAAUAAAUCAUUAUGUCUUUUUAGUUUUAAUUUUUUACUUGAUUAAAAGAGAAAUAAUUAACAAAUGAAAAAUAAUUAUUUCUAUAUAAAUUUAUCAAAAUUUAUAACAAAUGAUAUUUUAGAUUUGAAUUAUCAGACUAUAUAUAUAUAAGUAUACACAUUUUUAUGAAAUAAAAGAUUUUGCUAAAAGAAAAAGCAUCCAAUUUUAAGAAUGAAAAAUAUAUGGUAAAAGCAUCCAUAACUUUUCAAUGUUAAAGACAAAAAAGACUGUAACACCAAUGUUGUGGUAUUAUUUGUUGCCUAUAAAUACCAUUCCUAUCCUUCUUCUUCCUCUACCAACAUAACAUGGCCUCCUAUCUCUUUCUCUCCCUAUUCCUCUUCUUUCUCCAUCUUUAUGCUUCUUUUUCUUCUUCAGGAUCUCACUCCUGCUCUUCACUAAUCCAGUUUAAGGACUCCUUUUCCAUAAGAGAGGAUGCUUCUUUUGAUCAUUGCGAUUAUUUUGCUGGCCUUAAAUCUUAUCCCAAGACAAAUUCAUGGAAGGAGGGUACAGAUUGCUGCUCAUGGGAUGGGGUCACUUGUGACCACCUAAAUGCUCAUGUUAUUGCCCUUGACUUGAGCUGCAGUUGGCUAUAUGGCACCUUCCCUUCCAAUACCACUCUCUUCCUUCUUCCUCACCUUCAAAAACUCAACCUUGCCUACAAUGAUUUUAAUUCUUCCAAAAUUCCAUCCGAGUUCGGUCGGUUUACAAGCCUAUUCUACCUCAACCUUUCCAAUACAUGGUUUUCAGAAGUCCCAUCCCAAGUCUCCCACCUGUCAAAAUUGGUUUCACUUGAUCUUUCUGGGUUUGAUGAACUAUUAACAAUUGACAAAUAUGCUCUGGAGGGUCUUGUUCACAACCUAACCGAGGUCAGACGUCUGUUUUUGGAUGAAAUGGACAUGUCUUCAGUUAAUGCUCAUGUCUUCAUGAAUCUAUCCUCUUCUCUAAGGUCUCUCAGUCUUGUUGGUUGUGAUUUGCAAGGAAAAUUCCCAAAAAACAUUUUUGAUUUGCCAAACCUCAAUCUCCUCAACUUGGGAGGCAACCAAAACCUCAAUCUUGAUCCUUUGAAGUUCAAUCGGAGCAGCAAUCUUGAACAAUUGAUAAUUUCAGACGCAAAUAUUUGUGGAGGAUUGCCUGACUCGAUGGGGAAUCUUGUGUCCUUGAAGUUUUUAGUUCUCUCCCAUUCCAACUUAUCAGGACUGGUUCCAAGAUCACUGGGGAAUCUCUUGAAACUCACUCAUUUAGACUUGUCGGAGAACCAAUUGAGUGGACAAAUUCCAAGAAAAUUGGGGAACCUCUUGCAACUCACUCAUUUAGACUUGUCGAAGAACCAAUUGAGUGGACAAAUUCCAAGAUCAUUAGGGAACCUCUUGCAACUCACUCAUUUAGACUUGUGGCUGAACCAAUUGAGUGGACAGAUUCCAAGAUCAUUGGGGAACCUCUUGCAACUCACUGUUUUAGACUUGGGAUGGAACAAAUUGAGUGGACAAAUUCCAUUGUCAAUUCUAAACCUAACGCAGCUGGAAUACUUGACAAUAUCUAACAAUUCUUUAGAAGGUUCCAUUCCAGAUGAGGUAACCGCUUUUCAUAAUCUAAUAUAUUUAGACUUAUCUGACAAUUUACUCAAUGGAACACUGCCGUCAUGGUUGUAUACUGCUCCCUCCUUAAAGACAAUAUAUCUCUCUCAAAAUCAAUUCAGUGGGCAUAUCAAAGAAUUCCAAUCCAAAUCACUAGAAUGGAUAUGGUUAGAGAAUAAUAAACUCCAAGGUCCUCUUCCAUCUUCAAUAUUCCAACUUCUCAAUCUUACCCAACUUAGCUUAUCCUCAAAUUAUCUUAGUGGUGUCAUAGAGUUUCGCAUGUUCUCAAACCUUCCAAAUCUCGAAUAUCUUGACCUUUCAUAUAACAGCCUAUCCUUAACAUCUAAUACAACUUCUACUGUUAAUCUUACAAGCUUAUUUUUGUCAUCUUGCAAUCUUAGUGAAUUCCCCCAAUUUUUAAAAGGGCUUAAAAGUUUGGAAAGCUUAGACCUCUCUUGCAACAAAAUUGAAGGCAAGAUUCCACAGUGGAUGCGAGAGGUGGGGAAUGGCUCUUUGACUCACUUAAAUGUAUCUCACAACACUUUGACAGAAGUUGAGCACUUUCCAUGGAAGAAUAUUGAUGUUCUUGACUUAAGCUCCAAUUUGAUCAGUGGAAAUCUUCCGAUUCCAGCUUCGACCAUAAGAGUCUUUUUGAUCUCAAAUAAUAGUUUCAAUGGAGAGGUCUCUUCUUUAAUAUGCAAUGCCGCUUUUCUUGAAAUUCUUGAUUUGUCCCACAAUAACUUGAGUGGAACAAUUCCACAAUGUUUUGGAAAUUUGAGCAACAGCCUUCUAUUCUUGAAUCUGAAGAAGAACAAGUUUUAUGGGACGAUUCCUCCAGCAUUUGCAAAGGGAUGCCGAUUGAGUAAUUUCAACUUAAAUGGAAAUCUGUUAGAAGGGCCUUUGACACCAUCCAUGAUCCAUCCUUAAUUGUAAUGGUCUGGAAGUGCUAGAUCUUGGUAACAACAAGAUCAAUGAUACAUUUCCUCAUUGGUUGGGAAGUCUUCCACAGCUACAAGUUCUUGUAUUGAAGUCAAAUCAACUGCAUGGUUCCUUAUGUGUCAAUAGCUCCAAGUCUAUCCCUUUUUUCUCUAAAAUCCAAAUUUUUGAUCUCUCAAGUAAUUAUUUUUCUGGACCCCUACCAGUGAGAUACAUCAACAGCUUCAAGGCUAUCAUAAAUCUAGAGAAGAUUGGGAGUACAAUGUCGUACAUGGGGGUGUAUGCUCAGAGAGGUAGUGCCUUCUAUACCCAUUCCAUUGGAAUUGUUAUGAAAGGACAAGAUAGGGAAUUGGUGAAAAUUUUCACCAUGUGGAUGAUCAUUGAUCUAUCAAACAAUCAGUUUCAAGGGGGUAUUCCAAAGGUUAUUGUGAAGCUUAACUUGCUGAAAGGGCUCAACCUUUCUCAUAAUAACCUUAAUGGUGGUAUCCCCACCUCAAUAGGGAAUUUGACAAGUCUUGAAUGGUUAGACCUAUCUUCAAACAGUUUGUCUGGGACGAUUCCAAAUAGAUUGGCAGAUCUGCCAUUUCUUUCGUCCUUCAAUGUUUCUGAAAAUCAACUCCAUUGUCAGAUUCCUCAAGGCAAACAGUUCAACACAUUUGGAAAUGAUUCAUAUGAAGGAAACAAGGGAUUAUGUGGAUUUCCGGUCUCAAAAGGUUGCAACAUCAUUGAGCCAGCACCUCUAAAUGUGCUUGAAAAAGAUGGCUCAAAAUCAAACAUUACUUUUGGUUGGAAAGUGGUGUUGAUAGGUUAUGGAUGCGGAGUGGUGUUCGGAAUGUCCGUGGGAUAUGUUGUUUUCCAAACUGGUAAGCCGAAAUGGUUGGUGAAUUUGGUUGAAAUCCAACAUGAGAAGAAGCGAAGAAGAAAGUCAAAGGAUGGCAGUCGCAGCAAUGGAUGAAGAAGGAUCUAGUUAGUGGAAAUGAUGUUCAAGUGUUGAUGUUGUAUCUUCAUAAUUUCUUGUUUUGAAGUCUUUCAAUUUUUUUCCUAUGGUGAAAGGUUGCAUUGCCAUGCAUCUGUCUUUACUUUUGUAACAAUUCAUCUGUCAUAAUAUUAUAGAUUUUAUUGAUUUUAAUUUUUUCUCUAAUUUUUAAUAAAAAUAGGGGCAUAAUUGCUUUUUUUUUUUAAGUUUGAGAGUAUUUUUUAUGCAUUUUGAAAGUUCAAGUACCAAAUUGAGUGCAAAAAAAAAAAGAGUAGGGGCUUAAUUACUUUUUUUGAAAAUGUUUGAGAGCUUUUUUGAUGUAUCAAAUGAAAUACAAAUUUUGAGUAAAUCAACUAUUCAUUUUUAUGAAUAAAAAUUAUAUGGUAAAAAGGAAGUAGUGUUAAUAAUAAUAAAAAAGAUCAACAAUAGAAAACUAAUAAAGCAAUUUAGCCUAUGAUCUGCGCAAUAUAUUACUACAAAUGUACUGUACAAAAUAUUGAAGAAAACUAAUAAAGAAAUCUGAAAUUUUAACAAGUUCCGCAAAUAAUGUUUAUGAUUUGCUGUAAAUUGAUAUGUCAAAUUAGGCUCUCCAUCACACUUAAAAGUUUAUUUUCGAGCAAUUUAGAUAUCUUUGUUGCGUUUUUAUUUUGUUUUAGUUGUUUAUAUUAAUAAAUGAUUAGUGUGCAUUUUGAUGCUAUUUUAAGACCUGAGAUGGCCAAAUGGCACCCGGGGAAUCUAAUGAGGUUGGUGAGUGAUGCAGAGAGCCCAUGGUGGCCCGGAAGGAACGAAAAUGUUACCUAGAAAGAGGGUAUCGCAUUUCAAAGCAUGAAAGUCGUAAUACCCAUAACAAUGUUAAAAACAAGGAAGAUUGAGCCAUCAACAAUGUUAUCGUGAUACCGGUCAUAAGAUAUCGCGAUACCCAAAACUUCCAAGGAUCCCCCAAGACUGUUGUGGAUAUCGCGAUACCAAACUUUGGGUAUCGCAAUAUCAUUGAUGAGAGGAGACAAAAUAUAACUGUAGGGGUAAUCCUUUUCCAACAUGUGGAAUGGCCAUGGGAUGUGUUGUUUUCCAAACCGGUAAGGCGAAAAGGUUCGUGAAUUUGGCUGAAGACCAACAUGAGAAGAGGCGAAGAAGAAAGCCAAAAUAUAGCAAUCGCAUCAAUGGAUGAAGAAGGAUCUAGUUGGUUCAAAUGAAGUUAAAGCAUUUGUGCUGUGUCUUCAUAAUUUCUUGUUUAGUAGUCUGUCAGAAAGUUUUUCCUAUGGUGAAAAGUUGCAUUGCUAUGUGUCUGUUUUUAUGAUUGUACCAAUUCCUCUGUAUUUCAUUGCAUUUCGUACUAUUUGUAAGGGUUUAGUUCAGUGUAACAUCUUGUAUGGUGCAACUAUGUAUGUCUUCUUUCUUGAAUUUCAACUUUUAGUAAACAUUAUACUGCUCACCAUAAAAAAAAUACAUGUAGAAUUACAAAAGAUUCAAUUAUUCAAGUUUGAGUUGCAUUUAUAAACAUGUGAUGAUGAGAAUUCAUGAACAAAAGGUAUGGUUUGAGCCCUUUUGCAAUAUGCGUUUAUGUUGCAUUUACCUAUAUAUCUAUCGACAAAUUUAAGAGUAAUAUUUACAAUAGCAUUGCAGAGUAACAUAUUUACGAUUGGAUUACACAGUCAAAAGAUUGCAGCAACGAUGAGAUUAAUCCAAUUACAGGAAUUGAUAUCCUAAAUGGCUUUUAGGUACGUAGCUUCAUUGACGGUACAAACUAGUUAAAAUUUCCAGAAUUCAUGUCUUUGUUUUCCCUCAAGUAAACGUAGUCAAUACUGCAAAUGGUGUGGAAGUAUUGUACAUUGUGGCCCAAAUGUCCAAAAUUUCCACAUUGCUUGUAAAUUAAGUGAUGAAAACCAAAACUGUUUGAGGCAUCCAAUUACCCACAGAGAUAGGAAGUAAGGACGCAUGUAUAAUUAUUAUCAUUAAUUAAAGCAUAUAUAAUUACAUUAAAUAUAGGAUAAACUAUAAAAAUAAUCACUUUUAUUUACCUCAUAUUACAUUUUAGUCACUUAUGUUUGAAAUGUUACAUUUUGGUCACUUACGUUAUCGUUUUGGUACGAAGUGGUCACUCUACCGUUAAGCUCCGUUACCUCCCUAACGGCGAUUCUACGUGAUAGUCCAAAUGAGUUUUAAAUGCCAACUUAAAUGUCUUGCGUGGCUGUCUAAAUUAAAUUUAUUUAAUUAAAAACUUAUUUUCAUCUCAACAACCGGACAUUCAAGUUCGCAUUUAAAACCCAUUUAGACUGCCACGUAGGACUGCCGAUAGGGAGGUAACAGAGUUUGAUAGUAGAGUAACCACUUCAUAACAAAACGAUAAUGUAAGUGGCUAAAACAUAACAUUUCAAACAUAAGUAAUUAAAAUAUAAUAUAAGGUAAACAAGCCUUAAAUAUAUAAAUUACUAUGAUUACUAUCAAGAUAGCAUUGACCUGUUCAACAGGCGGAACCAAUAGAUCUGACCAUUUGGUGACUCUAGCAGUCGAUAAGUGUGAGUGGCAGACUGUGCAACUUGUAACUAUGUUAAUUGAUGAAAAGCUUUUUGAUAGAAGAUAAUAAACUAGUGGCAAUGGCAAACGGUUCCAAGACGAGGUGGGACACCGAGGCUUUGUGUAACAGGGGAAUAGAUGCACUCAAUGCUGGCGGCUGUUGACUUGUAUUUCUCUCUAACAAUUUAAAUCACCAGCUUGCUUCAUCCAUCUAUAAAUAAGGGUCUUCUUCAGUUUCAUAAAUGCAUAGAAAAUUAACAAGCUCAAAUUCCUUCUUUUCAUAUUCAUCUCUUUUACUUUGAAUUGCAACUUUAUCCUGCCUAAAUUCCUCAACCAUGAACCACCCAUCAGGACAGCCUCAAAAUGAACUUCCUUGGUCCGCCGGAUUCUGCGAUUGUUGCUCUGACCUGAAAACUUGUAACCCUUUCUUCUUUCUUCAAUAUCAGUUCUGUCUUUUUAAUUAUAUGAAUUAGUUUAUCAAUUAAAUAUAUGGACAUUUCAGGUUGCAUUUCAUACUGGUGCCCAUCCAUCACCUUUGGCCAGAUUGCUGAGAUUGUUGAUAAAGGGUCGACUUGUAAGUUAUUAAUUUCUAAAUUGAAAUCUUAUCAUCUUAGGUUUUGCAGACAUAUAUAUAUUUAAAGAGAUAUUAUGUAAUUAAUAAUAAUGUUGAAAAACACUGUUGGAUGGUGCAGCAUGUCGGGCAAGUAGGGCACUAUACACAUUAAUAAUGUUCAUCACCGGGUGUGGGUGCUUAUAUUCUGGCUGCUACCGAUGCAAACUGAGAAAGCAGUAUAACUUGAAAGGAGGCGAUUGUGGCGAUUGCAUGCGUCAUUUCUGCUGCGAGCCUUGUGCCUUGACACAAGAGUAUCGUGAGCUCCAGAACCGUGGAUUCGACAUGUCUAUCGGUAUGUCUACAUACCAAUAUUAUACCCCUUUUAAUUAUUCUUAAUAUAACUUCAAGUAUAUUAAUUGAGUAGCUGUAAACAAAUAUCUCCGAAUAAAUAUGUUGGUAAUGAUGAGAUAAAUUAUUGUUUGAGGUCAUUAAUUUUGUGGGGGUAUAUUUAUAUAUGCAGGUUGGCAUGCAAAUGUGGAGAAGAACCCAGGGCUGGCAAUGGCUCCAGCGGUAGAAAAAGGCAUGAGCAAAUAGAUGAUGAUGAUGAUGAGACCACUGCAUUAAUAUCAUCUUUACAUGUAACACUUAAUUCCUUGGCUUUCCAUAAUUGGUUGAUUGUACGGCUUGCCAAUUGAAUUUCAAGUUAUGUAUGUUUGUGAUUGUCAAAUAUAUUAAUAAAAAGUGUUACUAUUCAUGUUAGAUCUUCAUGAAUAAGAAUGAGAAUCGAAAAUAACUUGUAAUAUUGUGUGUGCAUGUUUGGUAUUUAGGUGAAAUACUUAGAAAGAGAGGUUGGAUUAAAUUAAUUUUUUAUUAUCAAAAUGGAUGAUUUUAAUUUUUAUAUUAAUAAAAAGAAUUAAAUAAAAUUAAUAUUUAUUGUUUUAGAAAAUGACAUCAAAUUAUUGUUUUUUAUAGUUCAAUCCAAAUAAAAUAUCUACAAAAUCAUUAAAAACUUUUAAAAUGUGACUUUGUUAAAUAGUAAAUAGCAUUUUUUUAAAAGGGUUCAUAUAUAUCGUGAUACCUAAAGUUGGCAACUUCUACUUAGUAUCUAAAUCGGUACAUAAACUUGAAAAUUGUAAGUCAACUUCGUAUUUUUAUAAGUAUGAUGAUGUUGGUGUAGUGUGAGGAAGAAGACUUGAAUGGGUUUGAUUAUUUUUAAUAAUACAGGAAUUUACAUAUUAUAAGUAAAUAGACACUCACAUUCUUUAUGUAUUAUAAGGAAGAAGACUAAGUCGAUCUACUUUGUAAUCUCAUCAAUCUUAAUUUUCUCAAUUGUUAAGGGAGUUCAAAUGAAAUACAAAAUUUUGGUAAAAAAAAGUAUCCAAUUUUGUGAAUAAAAAAUAUAUGGUAAAAAAGAUUUGGUAUCGAUACUUCGGCGCGGGUAUCAAUACUCGAUACAUUGCUUUUGGUUGGAAAGUAGUGUCUGGAACGGCCAUGGGAUGUGUUGUUUUCCAAACCGGUAAGGCGAAAAGGUUUGUGAAUUUGGUUGAAGACCAACAUGAGAAGAGGCGAAGAAGAAAACCAAAAUAUAGCAAUCGCAUCAAUGGAUGAAGAAGGAUCUAGUUGGUGCAAAUGAAGUUAAAGCAUUUGUGCUGUGUCUUCAUAAUUUCUUGUUUAGUAGUCUGUCAGAAAGUUUUUCCUAUGGUGAAAAGUUGCAUUGGUAUGUGUCUGUCUUUAUGAUUGUACCAAUUCCUCUGUAUUUCAUUGCAUUUCGUACUAUUUGUAAGGGUUUAGUUCGAGUGUAACAUCUUGUAUGGUGCAACUAUGUAUGUCUUCUUUCUUGAUUAUUGAAAUUAUAAUCAAAAUUAAUACAUGUUCUUUUUAUUAGCUUAAGGGCGUAAAAACACUUCAAAAUUUUCAAAAAAUAAAAUAAAAUUUUAAGUCCCUCUUUUUUUUACACUCAAUUGAAAUUUUUAAAAUGUAUCAAAAAUAUCUUUACAGUUCUUCAAAAAAAAAAACAAUUAAACCCCUAUUUUUUUUCCGCUCAAUUGGGUACUUGAACUUUCAUAAUGCAUCAAAAAUGCCUUAAAUUUUUUUCAAAAAAGCAAUUAAGCCCCUACUCUUAUUAAAAAUUAGAAAAAAAUCAUAAAAAUAAUAAAUUUUAGAAAAAAUUAUUAAAUUUUAAUAAAAAUUUAAAAUUUUAUUAAAAAUUAGAAUUUUUUUUUAGAAAAAUCGUCAAAAAAUAAAAAAUUAUAAAAUCCAUCAAAAAGUUUUAACAAUUAACUUUAACUAUUGAUCGUUAAAGUUAACGACCUCUAGUUUUUUCAAUUAAAGUCAUUAUGUGUCGCAACUCAACGUGACAUGUAGCGAAAAUAGAUAAAAAAGUAAAAAUCAAUAAAAGUUAUAGAAAAAUUAUAAAAUAUUUCUUUUGGUAGAAUAAUUUUUAUAAAUUUUUUUUACAAAAUUUAUAUUUCUUUACAUUUUGUAUAAUUUUCUUAUAACUUUAUAAAAUUUUAUAAAUUUUUAUAUUUCUAUAUAUUUUAAAAUUUUUUAAAAUUUUUAUAAAAUUUUACAAUUUUUAUAUAUUUUUAAUAAAUUUUUAAUAUUUGAUUUUUUAUUAAAAUUUAAUAAUAUUAUAGAUUUUAUUGAUUUUAAUUUUUUAUCUAAUUUUUAAUAAAAUUAGGGGGUUAAUUGCUUUUUUUUUAAGUUUGAGGGUCUUUUUGAUGCAUUUUGAAAGUUCAAGUACCCAAUUGACUGCAAAACAAAAAGAAAAAAAGUAGGGGCUUAAUUGCUUUUUUUGAAAAUGUUUGAGGGCUUUUUUGAUGUAUUUUGAAAGUUCAAGUACCCAAAUGAGUGCAUAAAAAGAACAGGGGUUUAGUUGCUAUUUUGAAAAAGUUUGAGGGCUUUUUGCACCUUUAAACCUCUUUUCUUUUUCUAAAUUUAAUUUAGAACCAACUUUGUGUAAAGACUUGGGAAAUUUAAUUAGCAAAAUUUCUUUCCAUGUAAAAAUUUCCCCUAUUUCUUGUUUGAAUUUAAAGCAAUACAAUAUUUUUCUAGCAAAUAAUAGAAAAUGACAGUCAAUUAAUUCCAGCAAUACAACAUUUCCAGUCUGGUGGAAAACAGCUAGGGACCAAAUUUUUAAAGUGUUGUUUACUACACACUUAGGGACCAUAUAUGUAUAUAUAUAUAUUCCAGUCUGGGUCUUUGUCGUGUUUUGUUGGUUGGCUAUGGCCUUCUUGUUGUUUCAUGGCCACUGCCCGUGAAUUAAGUCAUAUGUGGCCUUGUUUGCUAGACCUUAGUUGCUAAGUUAAAGGGAGUGAAUAGAGCACCAUAUUUCUUCUUCUGCGUGGAAAAUAAGUUGGCAUUAUGCCAAAUUCCACAUUCAUACAUAGAAAGGAAGCAAGGCCAAGUCAUUAUACUUUGUAAUCUCAUCAAUUCUAAUUAUUUCACUUCUUCAUUCUUUAGGGAGUUCAAGUGAAAUACAAAUUUUUCCACAUCCAAUCUCAUAAAUAAUCCGUCUUUGAACUUUCACAAAAAAAUAUUAAAUACCCAUUCACUUUAAUUCUACUAUUCUUAAAUCAUUCAAGUUUUGUGGAAAAUAUGCUUCUUGGAUAAAAUUAUUCAACACACAUGCCUUGAAUUUUAUGCAAUAAAAUAAAUCAAUAUAGGCCACACAUGCUUUGAAUAUUUAAGUAGUCCACAAUUUUGUUCGUUUGUGUGCAAAAUUCUACAUUGCUUGACAGCCAUACAUUCUAAGUAAAUAGACACCCACAUUGUUUACGUAUUAUGAAGAAGAAGACUAAGUCAGUCUACUUUGUAAUCUCAUCAAUCUUAAUUUUCUCAGUUAUUUAGGGAGUUCAAAUGAAAUACAAAAUUUUGGGAAAAAAAAUGUAUCCAAUUUUGUGAAUGAAAAAUAUAUGGUAAAAAGGAUUUGGUAUGGAUACUUCGGCUCGGGUAUCAAUACUCAGGGUAAGUUUAUCGAUACAUUGCUUUUGGUUGGAAAGUGGUGUUGAUAGGUGAUGACUAAAAUUUGAUAAAUUUGAAAAGUACAUGAAAUUUAACGAUUAUUGUUUGGUGAUGACUAAAAUUUUAAAAUUUGAAAAGUACAUGAACUAAAAAUGACCAAAUUAAAGUAUAAAGAUUAAGUCCACAACUUUUGCAAAGUACAAGGACUAAUAGCAGAAAUUAACCUAAAUUUCAUAUGGGUCAAUUACAAAAAUAAUCACUAAACUAUUCCUUUGGUUCUAUUCUAGUCACUCAACUAUAGAGGUGCUCAUGGGCUGAGCCAGGUCAAGCCUAAGUAUGAUAUUAAUGUAUUUUAUACUUGCUCAAGCUUGGCUCGGCCUGAAAUAUGAGCUUAAAAUUUUGCCUGAACUCAUCCAUAUUUGCAAAAGACUAACCCAAGCUCAUUUUAAGCAUGCCUAUAUAAUUUUUAAUUUUUUUUAAAUAUUUAUAUUAUAUUAUAUUAAUUAAUAAUUUAAACAUUUUUUAUUUAUUAAAAUUUUUUAUAGUCAUUUUAACAUUAUUUUAAUGUUUACAUUAUAGUAUUAUUAUAUAUUUAGUAUAAGUAUUUUUUUAAUAUGUUCUAAUUUAUAUAAUAUAAAGUAUUAUACACUUAAAAACGGGCCGGGCUGGGCUUGAGCUUUAGUUGUUACUCAACUAUUAAUUUUUUCGAUUUAGUUGUUAACCUUUUCAAAAGUAAAUAUUUUAGUCAGUCUCCUAUUAGUUGUUGUUAAAUGAGUGACGGAAAGCUAAUGUGAGCUUUUUUUAUUAGUCUAAUAACAAAUUUAGCCCUCCAAUGUUUACACAUUCUAUCAAUUUGAUCGUAAAUAUAAAAAAAAAAUCAACAAAUUUAGCCCUGAAUAUUAACAAAACUUGUCAUUUUAGUUCAAAUUCUAAAAAAUUUAAUAAAUUUAACCUUUAAUAUUUUCAAAAAAAUAGCAAUUUAGUUCUAAUUCUAAAAAUUUUAAUAUAUAUAUUUAAAAAAAUAUUUCUAAUCCUCUGUCUCACCCUUUGAUUUUUUAGAUGAGCUAAAAUCAAAAUAUAUCAUUAUGUCUUUUUGUUUUAAUGCUAAAAGAGAUAAAAAAAAAUGGAAAGCUAAAAUGGCUUUUCGUUUGUGAAGUUACAAAAUGCCAAAUAAAUUAUUAUGUCUUUUUAGUUUUAAUUUUUUACUUGAUUAAAAGAGAAAUAAUUAACGAAUGAAAAAUAAUUAUUCACAAAUAAAUUUAUCAGAAUUUAUAACAAAUGAGAUUUUAAAUUUGAAUUUAUAAAUCAAAAUUUAUAUAUAUAUAUAUAUAAAAGAAAACACAUUUUUAUGAAAUAUAAGAUUUUGUUAAAAGAAAGAGCAUAUAAAAGCAUACACGUUUUUAUGAAAUACAAGAUUUUGCUAAAAGAAAAAGCAUCCAAUUUUAAGAAUGAAAAAUAUAUGGUAAAAGCAUCCAUAACUUUUCAAUAUAAAAGAAAAAAAAGACUAACACCAAUGUUGUGGUAUUAUUUGUUGCCUAUAAAUACCAUUCCUAUCCUUCUUCUUCCUCUACAAACAUAACAUGGCCCCCUAUCUCUUUCUCUGCCUAUUCCUCUUCUUUCCCCAUCUUUAUGCUUCUUUUCUUCUUCAGAAUCUCACUCCUGCUCUUCACUAAUCCAGUUUAAGGACUCUUUUUCCAUCACAAAGGAUGCUUCCUGGUAUUUCGAUUAUAUUACUGGCCUUAAAUCUUAUCCCAAGACAAAUUCAUGGAAGGAGGGUACAGAUUGCUGCUCAUGGGAUGGGGUCACUUGUGACCACCUAAAUGCUCAUGUUAUUGCCCUUGACUUGAGCUGCAGUUGGCUAUAUGGCACCUUCCCUUCCAAUACCACUCUCUUCCUUCUUCCUCACCUUCAAAAACUCAACCUUGCCUACAAUCAUUUUAAUUCUUCCAAAAUUCCAUCCGAGUUCGGUCGGUUUACAAGCCUAUUCUACCUCAACCUUUCCAAUACAUGGUUUUCAGAAGUCCCAUCCCAAGUCUCCCACCUGUCAAAAUUGGUUUCACUUGAUCUCUCCUCUCGGAUUGAUUACUCUGGGCAAGUUACAAUUGACAAACAUGCUCUGGAGGGACUUGUUCACAACCUAACCGAGGUCAGACAUCUGUUUUUGGAUGGAAUCAACAUGACUUCUGUUAAUGCUCAUGUCUUCAUGAAUCUAUCCUCUUCUCUAAGGUCUCUCAGUCUUGCUUUUUGUGAUUUGCAAGGAAAAUUCCCAAAAAACAUUUUUGAUUUGCAAAACCUCAAUCUCCUCAACUUGAGAUACAACCAAUUGAGUGGACAAAUUCCAAGAUCAUUGGGGAACCUCUUGCAACUCACUCAUUUACACUUGUCGGGGAACCAAUUGAGUGGACAAAUUCCAUUGUCAAUUCUAAACCUAACGCAGUUGGAAUACUUGGAAAUAUCUGAAAAUUCUUUAGAAGGUUCCAUUCCAGAUGAGGUAACCGCUUUUCCUAAUCUAAUAUAUUUAUACUUAUCUGACAAUUUACUCAAUGGAACACUUCCGUCAUGGUUGUAUACUGCUCCCUGCUUAAAGGAAAUAUAUCUCUCUCAAAAUCAAUUCAGUGGGCAUAUCAAAGAAUUCCAAACCAAAUCACUAGAAUAUUUAUAUCUAGAAAAUAAUAAACUCCAAGGUCCCCUUCCAUCUUCAAUAUUCCAACUUCUCAAUCUUACCGGGCUCCUUUUAUCCUCAAAUAAUCUUAGUGGUGUCAUAGAGUUGAGCAUGUUCUCAAACCUUCCAAAUCUCAAAUAUCUUGACCUUUCAUAUAACAGCCUAUCCUUAAUAUCUAAUACUACUUCUACUGUUAAUCAUAUAUUGCCUAAUCUUACAGGCUUACAUUUGUCAUCUUGCAAUCUUAGUGAAUUCCCCCAGUUUUUAAAAGGGCUUAAAAGUUUGGAAAGCUUAGACCUCUCUUGCAACAAAAUUGAAGGCAAGAUUCCACAGUGGAUGCAAGAGGUGGGGAAUGUCUCUUUGACUUACUUCAACGUAUCUCACAACUCUUUGACAGAAGUUGAGCACUUUCCAUGGAAGAAUAUUGAAAGUCUUGACUUAAGCUCCAAUUUGAUCAGUGGAAAUCUUCCGAUUCCAGCUUCGACCAUCAAUGUCUUUCUGAUCUCAAAUAAUAGUUUCAAUGGAGAGGUCUCUUCUUUAAUCUGCAAUGCCAGUGAUCUUGAAAUUCUUGAUUUGUCCCACAAUAACUUGAGUGGAACAAUUCCGCAAUGUUUUGGAAAUUUGAGCAACAGCCUUGAAUUCUUGAAUCUGAAGAAGAACAAGUUCUAUGGGACGAUUCCUCCAAAAUUUGCAAAGGGAUGCCGAUUGACUAAUUUCAACUUAAAUGGAAAUCUGUUAGAAGGGCCAUUGACUCCAUCCAUCCUUAAUUGUAGGGGUCUGGAAGUGCUAGAUCUUGGUAACAACAAGAUCAAUGAUACAUUUCCUCAUUGGUUGGGAAGUCUUCCACAGCUACAAGUUCUUGUAUUGAAGUCAAAUCAUAUGCAUGGUUCCUUAUGUGUCAAUAGCUCCAAGUCUAGCCCUUUUUUCUCUAAAAUCCAAAUUUUUGAUCUCUCAAGUAAUUAUUUUUCUGGACCCCUACCAGUGAGAUACAUCAACAGCUUCAAGGCUAUCAUAAAUCUAGAGAAGAUUGGUAGUACAGUGUCGUACAUGGGGGUGAAUGAUGGCUUCUAUACCUAUUCCAUUGGAAUUGUUAUAAAAGGACAAUAUAUGGAAUUGGUGAAAAUUUUCACCAUGUGGAUGAUCAUUGAUCUAUCAAACAAUCAGUUUGAAGGGGGUAUUCCAGAGGUUUUUGGGAAGCUUAACUUACUGAAAGGGCUCAACCUUUCUCAUAAUAACCUUAAUGGUGGUAUCCCCACCUUAAUAGGGAAUUUGACAAGUCUUGAAUGGUUGGACCUAUCUUCAAACAGGUUGUCUGGGACGAUUCCAAAUAGAUUGGCAGAUCUGCCAUUUCUUUCGUCCUUCAAUGUUUCUGAAAAUCAACUCCAUGGUCAGAUUCCUCAAGGCAAACAGUUCAACACAUUUGGAAAUGAUUCAUAUGAAGGAAACAAGGCAUUAUGUGGAUUUCCGGUCUCAAAAGGUUGCAACAUCAUUGAGCCAGCACCUCCAAAUGUGCUUGAAAAAGAUGGCUCAAAAUCAAACAUUACUUUUGGUUGGAAAGUGGUGUUGAUAGGUUAUGGAUGCGGAGUGGUGUUCGGAAUGUCCGUGGGAUAUGUUGUUUUCCAAACUGGUAAGCCGAAAUGGUUGGUGAAUUUGGUUGAAAUCCAACAUGAGAAGAAGCGAAGAAGAAAGUCAAAGGAUGGCAGUCGCAGCAAUGGACGAAGAAGAAUCUAGUUAGUGGAAAUGAUGUUCAAGUGUUGAUGUUGUAUCUUCAUAAUUUCUUGUUUUGAAGUCUGUCAAAUUUUUUUCCUAUCGUGAAAGGCUGCAUUGCCAUGCAUCUGUCUUUUUUAUUGUAACCAUUCAUCUAUAUUUCAUUGCAUUACGUAGUAUUUGUAAGGGUUUGUUUUAAAUGUAACAUUUUGUAUGGUUCAACUAUUUAUGUCUCUUUCAUGAGUUUCAUUUUUGAGUCUCAAUAAUCUCUGCAUUCAAGAUUUUGUCAGCUUAUUAAUUGGUGGAUCAAUAAUCUUCAUGCUCAUCUCAUCAUCUUUUUCUCGAGUUAAACACAGUCACUACUAUAAUAAUUUCUUCUGUGUGGAAAAUAAUUUGGCAUUCUGCAAAUUUCCACAAUGCUUGUGGAUUACCUCUGGUUGACGGCUAUACAUAUAAAGGAAGGAAACAAGACUAUGUCAAAAUUUCCAAAAAUCAGUCAUUCAUUUUUGAACAAUUAAACAUUCGUAUUCUAUUUUUCAAAAUUGUAAAUCCUCAAAUAAUGUAAAUUAGUCCUAAAACUCAAGUUUUGAAAUCUUUACAAUUUAACCCCUUAUAGUUUCAAACUUUACUAUUUUAUGCUCAACUUUCUAAAUCUUCAUAUUUCAUGAUCAUAUAAUUUAGUUAUUACAUCAAUAUUUCAGAUUUCACUACUCAAACCCUUACUUCAUUUUGGUCCUUACUUCAAUUUUAUCAAAUUAAAUCAUUUUUCAAUUUGAAUGCAUUGAUGUGAAAUUAAGGGACCACUAAACAAUGUUGAUGCGAGUUUAGGCAAAAUUGGUGGAUCCCAUCUCCACAGCAAUUUCUUUAUGGAAGUACUUGCUUUCACACUGCAAACUUGGAUAGUUUGUGGUGGACGAUGAUGAAUCAUUUCACAAUCAAACACACCAUUUUUAAACACAUAUAUUGAAAUCAUUAUUAAAAUUAUAAUCAAAAUUAAUACAAGUUCUUUUUAUUAGCUUAAGGGCGUAAAAACUCUUCAAAAUUUUCCAAAUAAAAAAUAAAAAAUUUAAGUCCCUCUUUUUUUUUUACACUCAAUUGAGUACUUAAACUUUUAAAAUGUAUCAAAAAUAUCUUAACACUUCUUCAAAAAAAGCAAUUAAACCCCCUUUUUUUUCCGCUCAAUUGGGUACUUGAAUUUUCAUAAUGCAUCAAAAAUACCUUAAUUUUUUUUUCAAAGAAACAAUUAAGCCUCUAUUUUUUUCCUACUCAACUAGGUACUUGAACUGUCAAAAAAACAAUUAAGCACCUACUCUUAUUAAAAAUUAGAAAAAAAAUCAUAAAAAUAAGAAAAAUUUAGAAAAAAUUAUUAAAUUUUAAUAAAAAUUUAAAAACUUAUUAAAAAUUAGAAAAAAUUUUAGAAAAAUUGUCAAAAAAUAAAAAAUUAUAAAAUUUUAUAAUUAAGCACUCUUAAAAUUUUGAAAAUUCUCAUUAAUCUCACACAAAUUUAAAAUUUUUUAUUAGACCCCCAAUUUUUUUUAAAAAUGUUAUUAAACCCUUAAAUUUUUAGAAAAUUUUACCUGCCCCCUCCCAAAAAAAAAACUAGUCCCAACUCUUAGGAUCCGCCAUUGGUACUUGGUAUUAACACUAUUAGAAAAUUGCUAAAUCAACCAAUGAAAAUUUGACACAUGGAACCCUUUUUUUAAAUUAUCAAGUUACGGAUGUUCUUCAAGGGCAUGGAACUCAACUUGAAAAUUUUACUAAUUUGGUUGCAAAAAACAUUGAGGAAGCAUAUAAUGAUCUAACCCUUUUUUGUUUUGUUCUGUUUUUAAUUUGUUAUGGGAUUCUAUUGAAUGAUAAUUUUUUUUAUUUCCCAUACUUGGUUCUUCAACAACAACAUAUUCGAGAUUUUAUUUUUCUAGAAUUUUUAUAUAAAAGUUUGUAUUUUUUAAAAUAAUUUUGAGUUUUUUAUAAUUUUUAUAUAGAAUCGAGGUAAAUUGGCAAAAAAUUAUAAAAAACAAAAUACUAAAAUUGUUUAGUUAAGUGACCAAAGCGAAGAUCUACCCAUAGUUCAGUGGCUAAUUAUGUAGUUUACCCUUUCAUAAUUAAAAAAAUAGUUGUUCAGUUUUUCUUGUAUUAGAUAACAUUUUAGAUGGUAAAAACCCUCUUUAGUCCCUCUCAAUUUUGAUAUUAAGUAAAUUGGUCCAUUUUUUUUUAAAAAAAUCAAAGCAAUUUAAUCUUUGUUAAUUUCGAAAGUGAGCAACUAAGGACAAUUAAUCACAAUGUCAAUAUUUUCCAUCAAUUGUACAUAUUUUUAUUGGUAUAAUAACAAAUUUAGCUCUCCAAGUUUACACAUUCUAUCAAUUUGUUUUGAUUUAACAAAUUUAGCCCGCAACAGUUACAUAUUCUAUUAACAUUUACACAUAAUAUAUAAACAUCGAGAGCUUAAUUUGUUAUUAUAUAAAUAAAAUUAUGUACAAUUUACAGAAAGCAUUAACACAAUAAUUAAUUGUCCUUAGUUGCUCCAUUUCAAAAUUGAUAAUGAUUAAAUUGCUCUAAUUUUCUGAGAGAAACCAAUUUCUUCAAUAUAGAAAUUGAGAGGGACGAGAAAUGUGUUUUUAUCCAUUUUAGAUACUAACAAGUGUUUGGCGUAGUGGCAAGGCAUAUUACAUUCUCAAGGAGAGAAUGCGUAUUCAAACGUUGGAGAUAAUAAUAUUGUGUGGGGUAUCCACGGAUCUCGAACACAGACUGUAAAACAUAUAUAAAAAAUAAAAAGAAUAACAUCUUAAUUUAAAUAAUUAAUAAAUUUUAAUUUCAAAAAAGUAUUUUGAGAAACAUAGGUUUUAGUAAAUAGUAAAAUUGAAUCGAUAAAACAUGUCCAGUAUAUCAGAAUCAUAAAAAUACAACUUAAUUAAUUUGAAUUUAAACUUAACUCGACUCAAUUUGAUUAUAAAAAACUGAUAAUUUGAAUCCAAAAUGACAUGAUCUUGAAAUGAUUUGAAUUAAUUGUCAAACCCAAACGACAAAACUCGAAAUGAUGCAAUCCAAAAACACAAGUCAAAUGAACUAAACUAUGAAAGAAAAAAAAAACCUUACACCGACUCAAAUCCAAAAUAAUUUAAUCCUAAAAUAACCCAAAUUUUAUAUAAUAUAAACUCGAAAUAACCCGAUAAUUUUUUUCAGUCUUACUGUGUUUAUCUUUAUAAGUAUUCUUGUUUUCCUUGCCCAUACAUGUAUUGUAGUUAUCAAAAAAUAUAUUCUACUUUGGAUUUUAUUUAUAUUAAAUUUUAGGUUAAAUUCCGCUAUUACUCUCUGUACUUUAUGAAAAUGAUGGAUUUAAUCAUUGUACGUUAAUUUAAUCAAUUUUAGUCUUUGUAUUUUUUGAAUUGGUCAAUUUUAAACCAUUUACUUUUUGAAUUUUGAAAUUUUAGUCUUGAUUCAAAUAAUAUUAAUAAUAAUAAAAUCUGCUUAUUUAAAUUUAAUUAUUAGUUUUGUACUAUGUAGACAAUUAUAGAUUUAAUCCAUAUUUUUCAAUUGGGUCAUUCCAAGUCUUUAUACUUUUCAAAUUUUAAAAUUUCAAUAUUGAUGCAGAAUGCGAGUUGCUAUUAAUUAAUUGAUUUUUUUAGCCAAUGCAUGUAGAAAUAAUAAGUUGUUAUGUCAUUAUACUUAAAAUAAUAUAUUGGUUUAACCCGCUUAAAUUAUGUCUUUUUUUCCAUCUUGGGACCUAAAUUUUUUUGGGGUCAUAAGUGGUACCUAAACUACUUUUUUUUCUCCUUCAAAUUAGGGCUCCUUUGGAUCACCAGCAAGUUUCAGUGUGGUGAGAUUUAAAGAGUAAAAAAAAUUUGAACUGAAACGCAGCUCUAUUUGGGGUGUUUGGCAAGCACACCAGUAAGCAUUUUUCACCUCACUGUAACCCAAAAUAUUGGCUGGAGUUAAAAGCUUCAGUGGACUGAUUUGGAAGUCCAAAAAUAAGAGUAAUUAUUAUUUUACCCCUCCAAUUCUUCCUUUAUUAUUUAUUUUAUUUAAAACAGAUAACAUAAGUUUAAUAUGUCAUUAUUUAAUAUUAUUUAAUUUACAAUAAAAUUAUAAUUUUUAUUUAUAAAUUUAGUAUAAAUACAAUUUAAUUUAUAUUUUAUUAUUUGAUUCAAAUAUAAUCUGUAAAAAUAUUUUGAUAUUUUAUUAUGAAUAUAAUUUAAAAAUAUUUUAUUGUAUAUUUAAAAUAUUUUGAUAUUUUAUUAUGAAUAUAAUCUGUAAAAUAUUUUGAUAUUUUUGAAUUUUUCUCUAGUUUUAAUUUAUUUUUAAUUAUUUAUUAUUAAAAAUAAAUAUAAUUGUAAUAAUUUUUAAUUAUUUAUUAAUUUUGUAAUUGUUAAAUAAUUUUAAAAACUUCUAUUAUAUAUAUUUUUAAUCUAAUGUCCUUAAAAGUCAUUUUCUAUUUUCACCUCACCGCUACAACUGCGUUUGAAUCCAAACACACACUCCACCGCUGUUUCUAAUCUCACCGCUACAGUAUCCAAUCUCACCGCUACAGUACCUAAUCUCACCGCCACCGCUGUUUUUAACCUUACCGGAACUAAACACACCGCCCAUCCAAACCCACCCUUAGUAUAUUCAUUAGUUAAACUGUUAAGUCUAUUUAAAAAAGAAAGACUCGGACAACAAAUUAAUACUUAAACAAUGCUCUUUUUCCCAAGGUACCUAAUUUUUAUUUUGGCCAUGAGUAUUACUAAAACUAUUAUUCCAUUACUCAUUUUACACCAAAAUGUUAUAUCGGCUGAAAAGAUUCCAACAAAUAAUAGAUUGUAUGUCAUAUAAACUUUUAAAAAUAAUUAUUAAUUAAUUUUUUUCAUAUAAACUGAACGGUUUGACUAAUGACGGAGGUACCAAAUUAUAGUCUAGGUACCAAUUUAUGGGUUAAGCCUAUUUCUAAAAUAGACUUUUGACUAAUGGCGGUAGUAACUUGGGAAAAAAAAGUAGUUUAUGUACCACUUGUGAACAAAAAUAAGUUUAGGUACCAACAUCGUAAAAUGAGUAUAAUUUAGAUACCGAUUUAUGAGUUAAGCCUAAUAUAUUUGUUGCAUCAUUUUUUUGAAAAUAACAGAACUUAAUAAAUUUAACGGUUAUUUUUUGGUGAUGACUAAAAUUUUAAAAUUUGAAAAGUACAUGAACUAAAAAUGACCAAAUUAAAGUAUAAAGAUUAAGUCCACAACUUUUACAAAGUACAAGGAGUAAUAGCAGAAAUUAACCUAAAUUUCAUAUGGGUCACUUACAAAAAUAAUCACUAAACUAUUCCUUUGGUUCUAUUCUAGUCACUCAACUAUAAAGGUGCUCAUGAGCCGGGCCAGGUCAGGCCUAAGCAUGAUAUUAACGUACCUUAUGCUUGCUCAAGCUUGGCUCGGCCCGAAAUAUGAGCUUAAAAUUUCGCCUAAACUCAUCCAUAUUUGCAAAAGACUAACCUAAGCUCAUUUUAGGCAUGCCCAUAUAAUUUUUAGUUUUUUUUUAAUAUUUAUAUUAUAUUAUAUUAAUAAUUAAUAAUUUAAACUUUUUUUAUUUAUUGAAACUUUUUAUAUAGUCAUUUUAACAUUAUUUUAAUGUUUACAUUAUAGUAUUAUUAUAUAUUUAGUAUAAGUUUAUUUUGUUAAUCUAUUCUAAACUAUAUAAUAUAAAGUAUCAUACACUUAAAAAUAGGCCGAGCUGGGCUUGAGCUUUGAAUGUUCAAGCCUGAACUCAGCCCAAAUUUUAAACGGGCCUAAUUUUUUUACCCAAACCCAAUUUUUGGGCCUAAUAUUUUUAUCCAGACCCUCCCAAAUUUUGGGCAGCCCUUGGGCCUUGGCAAGUAGCCCAACUCAUUAACAAGUUUACUCAACUAUUAAUUUUUUCGAUUUAGUUGUUAACCUUUUCGAAAGUAAAUAUUUUAGUCACUCUCCUGUUAGGUGUUGUUAAAUGAGUGAUGGAAAGCUAAUGUGGGCUUUUUUUAUUAGUCUAAAAACAAAUUUUGCCCUCUAAUGUUUACACUUCUAUCAAUUUGAUCCUAGAUAUAAAAAAAAAUCAAAAAAUUUAGCCCUGAAUAUUAUCAAAAAUUAGCGAUUUAGUUCUAAUUCUAAAAAUUUUAAUAUAUACAUAUAUUUAAAAAAAUAUUUUUAAUCCUCUGUCUCACCCUUUGAUUUUUUUAGAGAUAUUCAAAAAUUAAAAUAUAUCAUUAUGUCUUUUCGUUUUAAUGCUAAAAGAGAUAAAAAAAAUAGAAAGCUAAAAUGACUUUUCAUUUGUAAAGUUAAAAAAUACUAAAUAAAUCAUUAUAUCUUUUUAGUUUUAAUUUUUUACUUGAUUAAAAGAGAAAUAAUUAACGAAUGAAAAAUAAUUAUUCCCAAAUAAAUUUAUAAGAAAUGAGAUUUUGCUAAAAGAAAAAGCAUGUAAAAGUAUACACGUUCUUAUGAAAUACAAAGAUUUUGCUAAAAGAAAAAGUAUCCAAUUUUAAGAAUGAAAAAUAUAUGGUAAAAGGAAGACUAAGUGGUUGUUGAAAAAUACAAAAAUUUUGAAAAUCUAAUAUCCAUAACUUUUCAAUGUAAAAGAAAAAAAUGACUGUAACACCAAUGUUGUGGUAUUAUUUGUUGCCUAUAAGUACCAUUCCUAUCCUUCAUCUUCCUCUACCAACAUAACAUGGCCUCCUAUCUCUUUCUGUCCCUGUUCCUCUUCUUUCCCCAUCUUUAUGCUUCUUUUUCUUCUUCAGGAUCUCACUCCUGCUCUUCACUAAUCCAGUUCAAGAACUCUUUUUCCAUCACAGAGUAUGCUUCUUAUCAUUGCAAUGAGAUUGCUGGCCUUCAAUCUUAUCCCAAGACAAAUUCAUGGAAGGAGGGUACAGAUUGCUGCUCAUGGGAUGGGGUCACUUGUGACCACCUAAAUGCUCAUGUUAUUGCCCUUGACUUGAGCUGCAGUUGGCUAUAUGGCAACUUCCCUUCCAAUUCCACUCUCUUCCUUCUUCCUCACCUUCAAAAACUCAACCUUGCCUACAAUCAUUUUAAUCGUUCCAAAAUGCCAUCCGAGUUCGGUCGGUUUACAAGCCUACUCUACCUCGACCUUUCCAGUACAGGGUUUGCAGGAGAAGUCCCAUCCCAAGUCUCCCACUUGUCAAAAUUGGUUUCACUUAAUCUUUCUUGGAUUGGACAACAAUUAACAAUUGACAAACAUGCUCUGGAGGGACUUGUUCACAACCUAACCGAGGUCAGGUAUCUGUUUUUGGAUGGAAUCAACAUGGCUUCUGUUAAUGCUCAAGUCUUUAUGAAUCUAUCCUCUUCUCUAAGGUCUCUCAGUCUUUCUGGUUGUGAUUUGCAAGGAAAAUUCCCAAAAAACAUUUUUGAUUUGCCAAACCUCAAUCUCCUCAACUUUGGAGACAACCAAUUGAGUGGACAAAUUCCAAGAUUAUUGGGGAACCUCUUGCAACUCACUUCUUUAGACUUGUCGUUGAACCAAUUGAGUGGACAAAUUCCAUUGUCAAUUCUAAACCUAACGCAGCUGGAAUUUUUGGCAAUAUCUGAAAAUUUAUUAGAAGGUUCCAUUCCAGAUGAAGUAACCGCUUUUCCUAACCUAAAAUUUUUAUACUUAGAUAACAAUUUACUCAGUGGAACACUUCCGUCAUGGUUGUAUACUGCUCCCUCAUUAGACAGUAUAGGUCUCUCUCAAAAUCAAUUCAGUGGGCAUAUCAAAGAAUUCCAAUCCAAAUCACUAGAAUGGAUAGCGUUAGAGAAUAAUAAACUCCAAGGUCCUCUUCCAUCUUCAAUAUUCCAACUUCUCAAUCUUACCCGCCUCUUUUUAUCCUCAAAUAAUCUUAGUGGUGUCAUAGAGUUUCGCAUGUUCUCAAACCUUCCAAAUCUCGACCUUCUUGACCUUUCAUAUAACAGCCUAUCCUUAACAUCUAAUACUACUUCUACUGUUAAUCAUAUAUUGCCUAAUCUUACAAUGUUAUUUUUGUCAUCUUGCAAUCUUAGUGAAUUCCCCCAAUUUUUGAAAGGGCUUAAAAGGUUGGAAAUGUUAGACCUCUCUUGCAACAAACUUCAAGGCAAGAUUCCACAGUGGAUGCAAGAGGUGGGGAAUGUCUCUUUGACUUUCUUAAACGUAUCUCACAACUCUUUGACAGAAGUUGAGCACUUUCCGUGGAAUAAUAUUGCAGUUCUGGACUUAAGCUCCAAUUUGAUCCGUGGAAAUCUUCCGAUUCCAGCUUCGAAGAUCAAUGUCUUUCUGAUCUCAAAUAAUAGUUUCAAUGGAGAGGUCUCUUCUUUAAUCUGCAAUGCCAGUGAUCUUGAAAUUCUUGAUUUGUCCCACAAUAACUUGAGUGGAACAAUUCCGCAAUGUUUUGGAAAUUUGAGCAACAGCCUUGAAUUCUUGAAUCUGAAGAAGAACAAGUUCUAUGGGACGAUUCCUCCAACAUUUGCAGAGGGAUGCCAAUUGAGUAAUUUCAACUUAAAUGGAAAUCUGUUAGAAGGGCCUUUGACACCAUCCAUCCUUAAUUGUAAUGAUCUGGAAGUGCUAGAUCUUGGUAACAACAAGAUCAAUGAUACAUUUCCUCAUUGGUUGGGAAGUCUUCCACAGCUACAAGUUCUUGUAUUGAAGUCAAAUCAUAUGCAUGGUUCCUUGCGUGUCAAUAGCUCCAAGUCUAGCCCUUUUUUCUCUAAAAUCCAAAUUUUUGAUCUCUCAAGUAAUUAUUUUUCUGGACCCCUACCAGUGAGAUACAUCAACAGCUUCAAGGCUAUCAUAAAUCUAGAGAAGAUUGGUAGUACAGUGUCGUACAUGGGGGUGAAUGAUGGCUUCUAUACCUAUUCCAUUGGAAUUGUUAUAAAAGGACAAUAUAUGGAAUUGGUGAAAAUUUUCACCGUGUGGAUGAUCAUUGAUCUAUCAAACAAUCAGUUUGAAGGGGGUAUUCCAGAGGUUUUUGGGAAGCUUAACUUACUGAAAGGGCUCAACCUUUCUCAUAAUAACCUUAAUGGUGGUAUCCCUACCUCAAUAGGGAAUUUGACAAGUCUUGAAUGGUUGGACCUAUCUUCAAACAGGUUGUCUGGGACGAUUCCAAAUAGAUUGGCAGAUCUGCCAUUUCUUUCGUCCUUCAAUGUUUCUGAAAAUCAACUCCAUGGUCAGAUUCCUCAAGG
rnacentral:lncRNA from 1 species